rnacentral:lncRNA from 1 species
CAACAGCUUCCAGUCAGCUCAGAGUAUAAGCAGGGCAAAUGGAUMUUUGCCUGCAAAAUACCAUGUAGACAAUCUAUCUGAGCCUUUAGAAGUAGAAUUUGUAGUAUUGGGAUGCCCUGGUACAUUGUAGCCCAUGCACUUCAGUUGCCUAUCGUCUUACACUGCUGUUGUCCUGUCUCUAGAACCAAGAUCUUGCAAAUCCAGAAGUCAAAAGCCUGCCUUCCUCUUUGCCGUUAUCCAUGAAUGAUGUAGCUAUGACCAGCCACCUGGAAAGGCAAAACAUCCAGAAGGAGAAAGGUCCCUCAGAAGARAAGAACAGGCCUAAAUCAGAUCCUGGCCCCCAUCAGUCUCAGUACGACUCACUGAGAAGAGAUUUUCCAAGCCUGAAUAAAAAUAUGGAAAAGACUGAGGAAAAUCCACUGUUGUCAGAUACAGAUGAAGACAUCAAAGAGGAAGAAGACGACUAUUACAAAACUCCAAGCAGUCUUUUAACAAAGUGUAAUACUGAAAUAUCAAAGCCUGACCCUACAGCUGAGUCUAAUGUCCCUGUGCAAGAGAAGCCAGUGCAGAAGAACACAGUAAAGGAGAACAUUUAUAUGUCAAUGAAAUCACUGUAAGUAACAACUUUAUUAAGGUUUUGAAAAUUAAAAGUGAUACAGUGAUAUAGGAA